CAGGUCUUAAAUAGGAUUGAAGUAAUGUAAGUAUCCAGUUGCAGGAAUAAAAAACUUCAUCUAGGAAGAAUGGCAACAUCGUACUCCUUAACACACUUUGGAGGGAGGCAGGAAAGCACUCUCUUACUCGACUUCUGAAACUAAUGAAGGAAAAUACCUACAAAUUCCAUAAAAAAGGAUGAAAAACACUUCAGGCCUGGCAGAUUAUGAUUAUUAACACAUUAGCUUUUCCCAGGUUACACCGAACCCUGUUUCUGGAGUUUGCUGUGCAUGUUUGCUUGUUGUUCUCCCCCAUCGUUGUUUGGAUAGAGAAGCUGAAGACUGAAGCAGAAAUUUCCAGUGCUUGGGUAUACGAAAUCUGCCUUCUGGGGGAACAGCAUCACCUGGAGAAUUUGACUAAACCCAUUAGGUGGGAAGCAUAAUAAUCGCCCCAUGAACAAUCAGAAAAUGAAGCUUCAUGAAUGACACACCAAGAAAGCCAGGCCUGUUCCAGAUCUGCGAAAGGAGACGGACAAAACUCGGGAGCUGGACUGACCACUGCAGUGAUGAUCAAGUGCCUUCAAGAUUCAAGCAGAUCAAGAUGUGAAAGGAUAACCUUUGGAGACAAGCUAGCAGACGCUCAACCAUGGAUAGCUGGGACUUUCAAAUAUGCCAGGGCAGCCAGCUAAUGAAAGGCACAUACUGCAGAAUUCUGGUCCUGAUGCAGAACAAUGUGGAAUAAAUUAAUGUUGCCCUUUUGCAUUUACUGUGAAAAGCUGUACACCCCCUCAGCACCUCAAGCUGGUGACAGUGUAAUCCUCAAUUCACAUAUUGUAAAUUUAGAAAAGAUUGGAAUGUGCAACUGAUCAUACCUAGGAUGUUUACACAUGCUGUUUGAUCCCAAAAUACUGGCUUAUGUCAUUAAUGGCUUGUGUCAUGCUCCUUUCUAGCUUCAGAAAUGGCAAAUGUUUACCAUUUUAACUACAUUAGCUAACUGCUUAAAGAAAAGCAAAAAGGAAGCAAAGAAAGCAUAAUGGGAACAGUAAAAAAUGAAUGUUAAAUUACCCUGAGGAACAACUGUGCUUUUAAAAAAAAUCUUUGAUGUUACUUUCAGCUUUUGAGAUAACCAAAACAUGCAUGUUAAUAACCCAACUUAUCUUUCCAUGCCUUCACUAUUACACACUUCAAUUC